AGAAAAGAUCUAGAUAUGAAUAACUGAAAUUCAGUCCUCCUUUUCUUAGGUCCCCAUCAAUGUAUCCGUGUCUUGAAAGAAGUAAUGAUGGGAAAAAAGCAGAGAAGGUACAGCAGUUGAGGGUUAAUGCAGUAAAAUUCUCUACUACAUCUUUCAGUGUGAUUGAUGGCAUGCUCCCCAAACUUGAUCAUAUGUAGAAAACUCAGGUCAGGCCAGUAGAGAGACAAGGGUCUUUGUGGUUGUGUCAUUAUCUGUAGUUAAUAGUCUCCCGCAUGGAGCUGGUCUCCUCCACUUUGAAUCCCCUGACCUGAAACUGACAGCAUAUAUUCCUACCAGGUUUUCCUCUUAAAUCUCCCUUGCUACCCUCCUCCAGAUGGGUUACACAGAGCCCUGAAUCCUCAUCUUCACCCCGUCCUCAUCAUGAAGCAUCAUCCAGCUCUCUCGAUAUUUGGACCUUCCCCAUCUUUAAAGCAAAACAGACCUUCAUUUGUACUCGGUAGAUGGAAAGUUGAAUAGUGGCGAGCACUCGGAACAUUACCAGAUCUGUGAGCUACUGCCUGGCCUGUUCCACUGAUGACCUUUUCCAAUUGGGGAGCAGCUACUUUCAGGUCACUUCCUCUGGUGAAACCUCUACUGACUUCUACAGGCAGCCUGGUUCCUGACCUUUAAAGGCCCAGAGACCUUUUGUUUGGCAUGGGUAUUUGAUGCUUUUCUGGUAUUUGUAUGAUUUGUUGUUUAACUAUUCAUCCACUCAUUAACUCAUUCAUUUAUGUAAAACAUUUAUUUAAUGAGUACCUACUGUAUGCCAGGCCUGAUGUUAGGAGUUAAGUAUAAGUCAGAUAUAGGCCCUUCCCUCACAGAGCUUACUGUAUGGUAAACUGGUAGCCAGAAGCACACACGUAUACAUACAAUUAUAGCACAUUGAAAAUGUAAUAGGGGCCGGGUGGGUGCGCAGCCCUUAGAGCCUGGGUUAGAGGUCCACUCCACCAACAUCCUUGCAGUGGUCCUUGCAGCAGAGAGUGCGGUGAGAGGGGGAUCACGGCUUUCUCCCUGGGACCCUCCAGGCCCUCCGGCCUCGGGGCCAGCAGGUGAGCUGGGGGGCCCGGGGACAGGGCUGUGUCCUGCGGGGCUCCAGAGUCCUCGCCACAGGCACCCAUUGGCCAGGCCCAGGCCUUGAAACAGCCGAGAACCUCUCCCUCAUCCCCACUUCUGUGACCUAAUGGCAGCGGCUGUCUUCUGCAGGACCUGGCCCCCGUUUGGGUGGCUUGAGGAACAUGAGGGCCUGUGGGGUCCUGUGCACCUUGCCCCCUCAGUGAUGAAGGCUGGGCGGGUCUGGGGACCUGGCCCUGAGGGCGCCACCAGCUGAGAUCUGCCUCUUCAGCCCGGCCUGGGCACUGGAGGGAGGACCCAGACUGGGUGCCGGACUAAUGCUCCUGGGCAGGGUAACCGGCCUAUGCAAGGACCCCCUCCCCUUAGCCAGGGCCUGGACCUUGGAGGGCGAAAGUUGAGCCUUGGAACCUUGCCCCUUUUAGGUAGAACAGAGGAUAACAUUUGUUUUGGUGGAGGUUUACAGGAACAUGGUGACCUGACCUCAAGAACAAAGGAUCUGACACCAAGAAGUUUGCAGCAACUAACCAUGCCUCUGUCUUACCUUUCCUAGAAAAGGGCUUUGCUGAAAGCUUUUGGGGAGUUUGGGGUUUUUAAGGCAUGAGCCACCCCUCUCCUUGCGUGGCCCCACAAUAAACCUUUCUCUGCUCCAAA